GACGAACGCUGGCGGCGUGCUUAACACAUGCAAGUGGAGCGACGAACCAGGCUUCGGCUUGGGGCAAAGCCGCGAACGGGUGAGUAACACGUGGGUAACCUGCCCUGAUGACCGGGACAACCCGAGGAAACUCGGGCUAAUACCGGAUGUGCUCCCACCACACCAGUGGUGUGAGUAAAGGUAGCUUCGGCCUCCGCAUCGGGAUGGGCCCGCGGCGCAUUAGCUUGUUGGUGGGGUAAAGCCUACCAAGGCUACGAUGCGUAGCUGGUCUGAGAGGACGAUCAGCCACACUGGGACUGAGACACGGCCCAGACUCCUACGGGAGGCAGCAGUGGGGAAUCUUGCGCAAUGCGCGAAAGCGUGACGCAGCAACGCCGCGUGAGUGAAGAAGGCCU
rnacentral:rRNA from 1 species